rnacentral:lncRNA from 1 species
CUUUUCAGAUAUCUAUAGAAGCUCAAAUCUCUACAAGUGUAUAUCGACUAUUUUAAGAUUUUUCAUAUCCUCCGCUUAGAGAAUGCUCGAGCUGAUUUUCUAUCUCGGCUCGCCUUCUUUGACUGUGGUGAGCUGAGAAAAAUCUUUAUUGAGCAUUUUGAGAGCCCAAGCAUUGACUCCAAAGAGAAAGUUCAUCCAGUCCA